rnacentral:rRNA from 1 species
AGAGUUUGAUCCUGGCUCAGGAUGAACGCUAGCGGUAUGCUUAACACAUGCAAGUCGUACGGGAGUUUUUAACUCAAGUGGCGGACGGGUGAGUAACACGUGAGAAUUUACCUUUAGGAGGGGGAUAACAAUUGGAAACGAUUGCUAAUACCCCAUAUGCUUUUUUAAGUGAAACGAAUUCUUUCGCCUAAAGAAAAGCUCGCGGCUGAUUAGCUAGUUGGUAAGGUAAUGGCUUACCAAGGCGACGAUCAGUAUCUGGUUUGAGAGGACGAUCAGACACACUGGAACUGAGACACGGUCCAGACUCCUACGGGAGGCAGCAGUGGGGAAUUUUCCGCAAUGGGCGAAAGCCUGACGGAGCAAUACCGCGUGAGGGAAGACUGCCUAUGGGUUGUAAACCUCUUUUUUCAGGGAGGAAUAAAAUGACGUGUACCUGAAGAAUAAGCAUCGGCUAACUCCGUGCCAGCAGCCGCGGUAAG